rnacentral:rRNA from 1 species
UACGUAGGGUGCAAGCGUUGUCCGGAAUUAUUGGGCGUAAAGAGCUCGUAGGCGGUUUGUCGCGUCUGCUGUGAAAACUGGGGGCUCAACCCCCAGCCUGCAGUGGGUACGGGCAGACUAGAGUGCGGUAGGGGAGAUUGGAAUUCCUGGUGUAGCGGUGGAAUGCGCAGAUAUCAGGAGGAACACCGAUGGCGAAGGCAGAUCUCUGGGCCGUAACUGACGCUGAGGAGCGAAAGCUAGGGGAGCAAACGGG